rnacentral:misc_RNA from 1 species
AAGUCGUAACAAGGUUUCCGUAGGUGAACCUGCGGAAGGAUCAUUAAUGAAUAACCAUGGCGUGGUUGUUGCUGGCUUUUCGGAGCACUGUGCACACCCGUCAUUCUUAUCUUUCCACCUGUGCACUAAAUGUAGGCCUGGAUAACUCUCGCUUGUAACAAAGCGGAUGCAAGGAUUGCUGUGCCGCAAGGUCCAGCUCUCUUUGAAUUUCCAGGUCUAUGUACCUUUUACACACCCCAAUUGUAUAAUGAAGAAUGUAGUCAAUGGGCUUCAAUGCCUAUAAAACAAAUACAACUUUCAGCAACGGAUCUCUUGGCUCUC